UACGUAGGGUGCAGGCGUUAAUCGGAAUUACUGGGCGUAAAGCGUGCGCAGGCGGUUUGGUAAGACAGAUGUGAAAUCCCCGGGCUUAACCUGGGAACUGCGUUUGUAACUGGCAAGCUAGAGUGUGGCAGAGGGGGGUGGAAUUCCAAGUGUAGCAGUGAAAUGCGUAGAUAUUUGGAGGAACACCAAUGGCGAAGGCAGCCCCCUGGGUUAACACUGACGCUCAUGCACGAAAGCGUGGGGAGCAAACAGG
rnacentral:rRNA from 1 species